rnacentral:lncRNA from 1 species
GAAUCUACACUGAGCUUCCAGCAUUUCAUCAAUUACAGUUUAAAGUAUUUCUACCAAUAUUGGCUCCAGCUGCUAGUUUUGCUCUGGACUUUUCUGCUCCUGACGGAGCCUCGCCCUUCACUCUGUCGCCCAGGCUGGAGUGCAAUGGUGUGAUCUCGGCUCACUGCAACCUCUGCCUCCCGGGUUCAAGCGAUUGUCCUGCCUCAGCUUCCUGAGUAGCUGGGACUACAGGUGUGUGCCACCAAGCACGGCUAAUUUUUGUAUUUUUAGUAGAGAUGGGGUUUCACCGUGUUAGCCAGGAUGGUCUCAAUCUCCUGACCUCGUGAUCCUCCUGCCUCAGCCUCCCAAAGUGUUGAGAUUACAGGUGUGAGCCACCGCACCCAGUCCUCUCUCUCUCAAUCUUUUUUUGUUUUUAAAGUAAUGAGGAGAUUUAACUUUUACGUAUAACAGGAGGAACUUUAGAAGUGAGAAAGUCAAGAAUUAUGUAGUGACUCAGUGAUGUCAUGGCACUUUACUUGUGUCUCUGCCAAGUUCUCAUGGUUGCAAGAAGGUUGCCAGUGCUCCUAGUCAAGGAGAGAUCCCAAAGAAGGAAACGGGAAGUGGGUGAAGCAAUACCUUUAUAUUAAUUAUUUUCCUUCACACUUAAACACAGAUCCAAGUGGUUUAAUAGCAAUGAAUAUCCAGUUGAAGCUACAGAUUUAUCAUUUUCGGCACAAUUAAUGUGUGUGUUGUCUUAACUGUAAUUUUAUGAGACCUAUACACAUUGACAGUAUCAUCAAUUUUUUUUCUGUUUGGACUCAUGUAAAUGUAAUAAAAGAAAAUUGCUGAAAAAUAUUUAAAUAAAUGUAGCAACAAAGGUAUAUAUCUGAAGCUAGUGGCAUUGAC